CAGCACCUCAAGUGGUCAGGAUGAUUAUCGGGCCUAAAGCAUCCGUAGCCGGCGCUGUAAGUUUUCGGUUAAAUCUGUACGCUCAACGUACAGGCUGCCGGGAAUACUGCAGAGCUAGGGAGUGGGAGAGGUAGACGGUACUCGGUAGGAAGGGGUAAAAUCCUUUGAUCUAUUGAUGACCACCUGUGGCGAAGGCGGUCUACCAGAACGCGUCCGACGGUGAGGGAUGAAAGCUGGGGGAGCAAACCGGAUUAGAUACCCGCGUAGUCC
rnacentral:rRNA from 1 species